UAAUCUCAAAAUUGAAAUCAGUGUGCAACUAUAUGAAACUCCUACGGCCGGCAAAAUCAUCCGUACAUUAUACCGUAGUCAUUUUACAUAAGUGCUUCAAUUAUUGCUCACAAAGACAUGGAUUAAUUAACCAAAUCAUGAGUAAUAAAGCAUUGAAAGCAAAUCUAAGAGUACAUUGCAUAAUCAAAUGCGACUAGGAAGUAACAGUGGUGGUGGUAUGGGCAAGGACCCCAUAGCUCUAGCAACCUUUCUAAGUACAUGCUUCUGUACCUUCCCCGUUGAAGUCUUUGGC
rnacentral:lncRNA from 1 species